UGUAUAUUAAAAAAUGUAAUUUCCCUACCAUUGCAGAUGUGACUGCUGUGUCACAUGUCUGUCAGUAUGUGAAACAAAGGAGAGAGGUUAUGUCUAUACUAAGUGUUCUGACCUAUGAACAUCUGCGUGAUUAAUAGCCUAACACU
rnacentral:snoRNA from 1 species